rnacentral:rRNA from 1 species
CCUACGGGUGGCAGCAGUCGAGAAUCUUUCACAAUGGGGGAAACCCUGAUGGUGCGACGCCGCGUGGGGGAAUGAAGGUCUUCGGAUGUUAACCUCUUGUCAUGGGGGAGCAAAUUAAAAAGAUAGUUCCACAAGAGGAAGAGACGGCGAACUCUGUGCCAGCAGCCGCGGUAAGACGGAGGUCGCAAGCGUUGUUCGGAAUCACUGGUGGUAAAGGGUGCGUAGGCGGGUUCGCAAGUCGUGCGUGAACGGCGCGGGCGCAAGCCGCGGACGGCACAUGAUACUGGGAGACUAGAGUAAUGGAGAGGAAACCGGAAUUCCCGGUGUAGCAGUGAAAUGCGUAGAUAUCGGGAGGAACACUAGGGGCGAAGGCGGGUUCCUGGACAUUAACUGACGCUGAGGCACGAAGGCGAGGGGAGCGAACGGGAUUAGAUACCCGAGUAGUC